rnacentral:lncRNA from 1 species
GUGGUGUAGAAAAUAUAAAUGAAACUGUACCUAAACAACCUCAAAGUAGCGCCAAAUAUUUGCUUUUUCCUCAUUUUUCAAUGGAGAAAUGUUCAAAGUUUCAUCCUACACAAGUAGGAGUCCCGGAGCUUUCGAGAAGCCAAGAUUUAGCUCUUCAUCUGUACAAACACUCCAGGUACCGUGUCGUGUGAUAAAAAAAAAUUUAUUAUAUGAAGUUUACUUUUAUAAUCAUUUUGUGUUUUCUAAAGGAACUAUUUUUGCAUACAUCAUAGGUAAAACAAAACACAAUUUCUUACAGUACUAAAUACAUUUUCUUCUUUUCAGGAGCUUGUCAAGAGAUAACAAGAAAUCAGCACUGUUCGUUCAGCAUUAUUCAAAGAUAAGGAGUUAUCACCACCCCGUCGUCGAAUAAAAUUAGAAGAACAAGCGUUAUCAGACAAUGAGGAAAUAUUACAUAGCUUGUCGGAUGAUGAAAAGUGAGCUCUGACAGUGACAAAGAAGAACUUUCAAUGAUUAAAAGUGAGCUCUGACAGUGACAAAGAAGAACUUUCAAUGAUUAAUAAUUAUGAUGACGUAUCAAUCAUUUCGGAUCCAAUGAGUGACUUGGAAUCACAGGUGAAUGAACAGCUAUCAGCUGAUGAACGUGAUAUAGAAGUAGGCGAUUUGCUAUCAGAUUCUGAAAAUCAUACCGAGCACCAAAACAGCGAAUUGGAAUCGAACGAUGAAAGUGAUUCGGAACUCAAAACCUUUGAACAAAAAUCAGACUCUAUAAGUGAUACCGAAGACGAAACGAAUGAACACCUUUCAGAUAAUGAAAAUAUUAUGUCGGACAAAACCCAAUGGAAAAUGAAAGAUCUUGUCCAGGACUCCUCAAAAAGAAGUAUGGAAACGUGAGAAAAAUUGCAGACAUUUCGCCGCAGAUCGGAAACUUUUGGGCUAUUAGAGGUAAAGUCAUUAAUCUAAGUAACUUAAAACAGUACAACAACCCCCCAACAGGAAAAUUACUGAAAUUUACUAUUAAAGACGAAAGCAAGGCAAUAUCAAUUACAGCCUUUUCAGAAACAGCUGAAGAUCUCAAUAAAAUGUUAGAUUUUAACGUUUGUGUUCUCCUUCAAAAUGGAUACAUUAAAGACGCAUUUUCCAGAAAGGAAGAAGAUGAUCAUUUGUAUGAGAUUACUUGUACUCGAUCAACAACAACCGAAAUAAUACCUUCGGACCUUCUGAAAGUUCCAGAUAUUCAAAUUAACUUUAUCGAUUAUUCAACUGUUAAUACUUUGCCAGUUGGAAGUCAAAUAAAUAUCCGUGGAUUUAUUGACACAGUGUAUGAUAAAUACCCUAUACCAUCUACCAAAUUGAAUAAAACUUUCGAAAAGAAAAUGGUGAAAGUUAAAGAUUCCUUUACAAACUAUCUUAAUGUAGAACUGUGGAACUCUGAUGUUGAUCUCAUAGGCAAAUCUCAUGUGGGGAAAAAAUUUAAAAUAAUCCACGGCACUGUAACAACUUUUCAAGGAGCAAUAAGUAUUAAUAUUUCAAAUGGUAGAUUAUGUUGGAUUUAACCGUUUUCAUUUUGAACAACUUUAAAAAUGAACUUAACUCCCAGCAUAUUUCUUUUUGCUCAUUUUUAUUUUGAAUAAUAGUAAUAAUGUAACUACGAUCCAUGGAAUAUUCCUCCUCAUUCCGUACUUACAAUGUUUUUUAUAUAAUGAUGUUUUUCAAACGUUAAACGUUUUCAGUGUUUCACUUUUUAUACUAUUGCAUUUUUGUACUCUUUUCUUUGGUAUUACUAUUCAUUUUUAGCACUAGUUUAUUUUUGCAUUUAUAUGCUUUUCGCACUUUUUGCAGAAUCAAUCUCGG